rnacentral:tRNA from 1 species
UGGGGUGUAGCUCAAUUGGUAGAGUACUUGCCUAACAUGCACAAAAGCCCUGGAUUUGAACUCCUGCACCACAU